rnacentral:rRNA from 1 species
CCUACGGGACGCAGCAGUGAGGAAUAUUGGUCAAUGGGCGGAAGCCUGAACCAGCCAAGUCGCGUGAGGGAAUAAGGCCCUACGGGUCGUAAACCUCUUUUGCCGGGGAGCAAGGGCGGGGACGUGUCCCGGCCCGGAGAGUACCCGGAGAAAAAGCAUCGGCUAACUCCGUGCCAGCAGCCGCGGUAAUACGGAGGAUGCGAGCGUUAUCCGGAUUUAUUGGGUUUAAAGGGAGCGUAGACGGCAGAGCAAGUCUGAAGUGAAAGCCCGCGGCCCAACUGCGGGACUGCUUUGAAAACUGCCCG